CAUGCAGUCGAGCGAGAAGCUUCCUGCUUGCAGGAGGUGGACAGCGGCGUAAGGGAGAGUAACGCGUAGUUACUUGCCCCAGGGUCCGGGAUAGCGGCGGGAAACUGCCGGUAAUACCGGAUGAUAUCUGUGUCCUUCAAAAGAUGGGGAUCAAAGGUGUGAUUCCGCCCUGGGAGAGGACUGCGUCCUAUUAGCUUGUUGGUGGGGUAACGGCCUACCAAGGCAUUGAUGGGUACCGGGUGUGAGAGCAUGGCCCGGCUCACUGGGACUGAGACACUGCCCAGACACCUACGGGUGGCUGCAGUCGAGAAUCUUCGGCAAUGCGCGAAAGCGUGACCGAGCGACACCGCGUGCGGGAUGAAGGCUUUCGGGUUGUAAACCGCUGUCAGAGGGGAGGAAAUCUAUGGGGGCUAUCCCCCAUAGUUGACCUAUCCUCAGAGGAAGGACGGGCUAAGUUCGUGCCAGCAGCCGCGGUAACACGAACCGUCCAAACGUUAUUCGGAAUUAUUGGGCUUAAAGGGUGCGUAGGCGGUGCAGUAAGUUGGGUGUGAAAUCCCUCGGCUCAACCGAGGAACUGCGCUCAAUACUGCUGCACUCGAGGGAGACAGAGGUAAGCGGAACUGAUGGUGGAGCGGUGAAAUGCGUUGAUA
rnacentral:rRNA from 1 species